rnacentral:rRNA from 1 species
GACGGAGGAUGCAAGUGUUAUCCGGAAUCACUGGGCGUAAAGCGUCUGUAGGUGGUUCGAAAAGUCCACUGUUAAAAAUUGAGGCUUAACUUCAAAGAUGCCGUGGAAACUUUCAAACUAAGAGUAUGGUAGGGGUAGAGGGAAUUUCCAGUGGAGCGGUGAAAUGCGUAGAUAUUGGAAGACGACCAGCCGAAGUCGCGAAGGCAUCUCUACUGGGCCAUUACUGACACUGAGAGACGAAAGCUAGGGGAGCAAAUGG